CCCUGGCCCACAGCACGUAUAGCCGGGUUACCGAGGAGACCUGGGCUAUGGAUGGUUUUGUCUCAGCUGAACCUGACGGGGGCAGUUAUGUAUUCCAAGGCUUCAUACAGGGGAAAGACUAUGGACAGUUCGGGCUGCAGAGACUAGGUAGGUAGGAUUUAGAACAAGGCUUCUGUCUGCAGGGGAAAGACUAUGGACAGUUCGGGCUGCAGAGACUAGGUAGGUAGGAUUUAGAACAAGGCUUCUGUCUGCAGGGGAAAGACUAUGGACAGUUCGGGCUGCAGAGACUAGGUAUGAAGGUGAGAGAGAUCAACAUCACCACUGCAGGUCCUCCCCAUGUCUCCAAAAGCAGCUCUAUGGUCAUAGCCAUCCUGGUACCUUUCUUUGGCCUCGUGUUGGCAGGCCUGGGAUUCUAUCUCUACAAACAACGGAAAACGGAUCAGACCCAGUACACCGGCUGUUCAGUCCACGAGAACAGCAACGGCCAGGCGACAUAUGAGAACCCCAUGUACGACACCAACACCAAGUCUGCGGAGGGGAAAGUGGUUCGCUUCGACCCCAACCUCAACACCGUAUGCACUGUGGUUUGAAGAUGUGUGCCAAACGCACCGGGGUUUGACGAUGCUUUUGCCGAACAGGAAAAGCUUGUUCAGAAAUGCAGCACUGGUUUGAUGCUACACUGUACUGUGGUUUAUUGAUGCUGUCUGACGAACCGAAUUGCCCGAGAGUUCUUUUGGUUAAAAAAAAAACUUUAAAAAAUGGAUGUCUUGUCUUUUAUAAUAUCUCUCUGCAACAAGUUUCUGAAGACGGCACAGCACAGCCUCGGGAAACAGGAAGGCAAAGCACACCUUCAGGAUCAACAGUUGUGCGUGUUGUGGAUGAUGGACGGGGUGAGUCAGCAAGCAGAAUGAGACGGUCUUCUUUUUCAAAUACAUCUUCACCUGAUGGGUGAAGUUAUUCCUAACUGCACUCUGAGAGUGAUGCUAUGUGAAUAAUGCUGUUCCCGACAUGUUGGUACACAAGAGUUGUUUACGCUCCAGUCAACGCAAACAAUGGAGCGUCGUUAAGGCAACAGUC